ACUCGCCCCUCCAAAAGUGGGUAAAUUAAUCGUGACUAUCGCGGAUGAAACGCAAACGCUCCAUCUGGAAGCGCCUGAGAAGUUGAACUUCGACUCUCCUGCCCGGGCAACGGCAAGAGGCGCGAGAGACCAGUUGCUUUGUCGCGACUGGCUAGCAGGGAGCAGCCAAUGACGACCUUCGAAUGCGGAGGGUUCGGGAGGCGCCUCUUUGGGCUGGGCGAGUUCUGAAGCGGUUGACGCGGCGCGCGCCAACUUUAACGGCCUUGCUGCUGCUUGGGAGGCGCGUGUUAGUCCGGGCUGCCAAAAGACGAAGGAGGCCCCAGCCUCGUCUCUCCAUGGCGGCACCCUUGGCCGGAUCAAAAAGAGGAACGCGAUUAUGACUCAUUUAAAUUUAAGCUUUGCCGCCGCAGGCCCCGCCGACAUGGGCUACCGGGCUACCCGGCAGGUGCCGGGCCACGGCCACGGGCAUCGCUACCACCAGCAGGAGGAGGAGGAGGAUGAGUAUUAUUUCGAUAAGUGGGACAUCUUGCCUAAAGACUUGCCGGUCAUCGUACUGCUGGUGUUUGCGACUUUCGCCGCGGCAGCCUUGCUGCGAACAAUUUUGAAAGAAACAAAAAUGCCUAUUCUUGUAUUUAUAUUUUUCGUUGGAGUUGCCCUUGGAUUAAUAGACCGUUUUGCAAGUGAGUUAGAGAUUGUGAAAACCAUUGCAAGUAUAGAUCCUGUACUGUUCAUUCAUACGUUUUCACCAGCUAUAAUAUUUUCAGCUGCAUUUGAUAUGGAUUUUUAUAUAUUUCGGAAAUCAAUUUGGCAGCUUGUUCAUCCAACUUAUAACCAAUUUCAAACACCAGUCUGGGACCUUCACUGCUUCGUUGGAUUCAUAUGGAAAAGAGAUACAGUGCUACUACUUGCAGUUCCUGGAUUUUUGGUGAAUAGCGCUCUCCUUGCAUUCCUCACUUUUAAACUCAAUAAGUUUGAUGGGAGCUUUGAUUAUUGCAUGUUAUUUGGAGUAAUUCUUAGCACAACAGACCCUAUUCUUUCUGUGGCUUCCGUAAAAAACAUUGGUCUUUCAAAAAUACUUAUCAAUUUAAUCAAAGGAGAGUCUUUGCUCAAUGAUGCCAUCUCAAUAAUUAUUUUUGAAUUCCAUAGGGAUCUUUCUAGGAGGCAACAUAAAGAAAUGAUUUUAGAAUUUUUAACAAAAAUGUUCUUAAAAUGUUUUGCAAGUGCCGUGUUCGGAUUUUUGAGUUCAAGAGUCACCCUCUGUUGGUUGAAAUAUAUAUUCAAUGAUGGAAUCGUUGAAGUAGUUUUAAGCUUCUCAACAGUAUAUCUGAUUUUUUACAUAGCUGAACAACUUGGAAUGUCUGGAAUUAUUGCUGUUUGCAUUUUGGGUCUUCUUUUAGAUUCUGUGAGCUUUAGUCCAGGAGUUGAUUUGUUUCUUUAUAAGUUCUGGGCAAUGUUGACAUUUUUGGCUCACGUUUUGUUAUAUCUUAUCAUGGGAAUUGUUAUAACUCACAAAACAAUUCUACACGUGAAAUCUCCUCUUUCAUUUUUUAUUAUAACAGUCUAUCUUUCAUUGAAUCUUGUACGGGCUAUGGUUGUUUUGGCACUGAGCCCUUUUUUGAGUCAUGUGGGCUAUGGAUUUAAUUGGCGUUGGGGAGCUGUUAUUGUCUGGAGUGGAAUAAGGGGCACUUUCAGUUUCAACAUGGCUCUUGCACUUUCUCAAGAAAAAUUUCAACAUGAAAAAGAUACUAGUACCUCUGUACAGAUAUUACUGCAUUCAGGAAUAGCAUCUCUAUUGACCUUGAUAAUUAAUUCUACCACUGUGAAAAAGCUGGUUAUGGCAUUAGGCCUUUGCAGUUUUACUCUUCCAAAACGCAUGGCACUGCAUAAUGCUGUUCAGCGUAUCAGACAAAUAGAGGCCAACACCUUUUCAAUGUUGAAACUUGACAGAUUUUUGGCUGAUGCAAAUUGGGAAAUGGCUGAAGAAGCAAUUCAAAUGGAAUAUCCAUUUAGAUUAGAUUCAGAAGAAAUUUCCAAUCUGAGCAAAACGCUUAAAUGUCAAGAGUGUGAUGCUGAUACCACAUUUGAGAGAAAUCCUCAGCAAAUUGCUGACUUAAUGGAGGAAGCCAGGUUACGUCUCUUAACUGCACAGAUGGCAAGUUAUCGGAAGCAAUACAGUAAUGGAAUUCUGAACCAAGAUGCUGCCCAAACAUUAAUAGGUGCAGCAGAAAGUUAUGUGGACAUUAAAGGGAAGUUUAUGAAUAUUCAUGAAGUAAAGACAUACUGGGAAAGCAAAGGAUUCCUGGUAACACUUAAAAAAUGGCUAACUGAUUGGGUAUACAAUGUGAAAGAGGAAAAAUCUAAGCCAUCAAGAAAUAAGAUUCUGAAGAUGUGCCGAGAAGUAGUAUUUAUGGAUGAAUUUGAAUGUAUGAGUACCAUCGUAACAUUUUUGAACUCUGUUCCCAUUAUUCUUAAUUUUAUGGGAAGUGUUAGUUCAGUAUUUCUUCCACAACUAAGAAUGAUGAACUACUAUUUUCUGGGUUUGUAUACAUUGGAAGCAAUUUUGAAGGCUUUAGCAAUGGGGAGAACCUAUAUCUAUCAUCACUGGAAUCUGUUUGAACUUUUGAUUGUAGUACUAGGAUUUAUAGAUAUCAUGAUUACUAGUCUCUUUAAGUCAGUAAGUCCAUCAACACAGGUGAUUGCUGCUAUUGAGGUAUUCCAAGCUAUUCGUCUUCUCAGACUUCUGCGACUCUUGAAGCAUGUGAUACCUAAAGCAAUAUAUUUAUUGGAUACACAAAUAAACAAACAGCUCACUUUCCGAUAUGACAUUGCAAAAGGGUAUGUUCAAGGUGAAGAAGAUAUAAAAGGUGUAAUUGGACAGAUUGCUGGCCACGAAAGAGUUUAUUCAGAAAUAAGUAAAAUUUUGGAAACAAACAAACAAGAAGCUAUGAAGGAGUUAGGAUUAAUGCAGCGUGAGUACCCAGAAAUUGUCAUUGCUGUGAAAACCAAACAAGCAGUCCAAACAGUUCUAAAUGCAGCUUAUGAAACUCUUAAGUUUAUGAUAUCAGGAGGAAUUGUUGAUAGAAAUGAAGGAACUGAACUGCAUAAGGUUAUUCUUAAAAAGAAGAAACAGCUUGCAAUGCUUCCACCUAGAAUUGCACCAGCUACUGCAGAGGAACUUCUGCGCAAUGUCAUUUGGUUACAGAAUGAGAAAAAUCACAUAGAAUACAUUCAGAAGAAAGCACAGAUUCUUUAUUAUGACUAUGGAGGUGUUAUAUGUGAAGAACAUGAACAACCGGGUGGAAUCUAUUUAAUUGUAUCAGGUAUGACAAAGCUUCACGGUUCUGCCCCUCGUUAUGGAGUUGAUAAAGAACACUAUCUGCAAACUCAUCCUGCAGGAAUUCCCUAUACAGACUACUUGGCCACCGGGGCAAUAAUAGGAGAACUCAACUGUCUAACUAACCAAGAAAUGGAAUAUACUGUUACUUGUGAAACUGCUGUGCAGACGUGUUUUAUCUCUAUAGAUGAUUUGCUUGAAGCUUUUGACACAUUUUUGGAUGAGCCAUCUUUAGAAUAUAAAAUAUGGAUGAAAAUUGCUCUCGAUGUUGCUGUCAAAACUUUCAAAGAAAACUAUCCUGACAAGAACUGGGCAGAGAAGCUGUGCAUGCAGUUUUCCAAUAUGUAUGUGACGGAUGUACCCAACCACACCAAAUGUGACAUUUACAAUGGGACUAUGGAUGAUGUCAUUCUUGUACAUGGAACUGUACAAGAUUGUCAAACUCUGCAGCGUUAUGCUGCACCACACAUUUUACCUAAACUCUGCCAUCAGGUACAAGGUACUGCACCGAUAACAAAACUGCUAGUUAUAAAAACUGCAGACACGAUCCUAAGGAAGAACAGUGGAAUGUACAGUGUUUCUCAGCAGUAUCAUGCAACUGCUCGAAGGAUGGGUCACGCCACAUUAACAGCAGCUUCUGAAACAGAAGGCGAGAGUCAGAGUACACUGAACACCAAUUUAGAACACAUGUAUGUGAGCUCUACUAAUUCCAGAUGGGAACAAAUGCACUGAGAAAUGAACAUGUUUCAGCAUCACAGAGCAAGAAUGUUGGGUUUUGUAGAGAAGCAAAACAUAAACGUUAAUAUAAGACUGUGGUCCAACAUUGGGCACUCUCCAUUCUACCCACCAGAAGGCAGGAUUCUUUCAUGGAAGGCAGACUUGGCCGAGAAGCUGGAGGCAUCUCCUCUUCCCACUCUAAGGCCCGAAAACUGUUGAAAGUAAGCCCAACUCCAGAGCAAACAAAAAGCCUUCCUAAUGGUCAGGAAUUGGACCACUGCCUAGUAGACAAGUCAAAAAAUAUAAGCAACCUAUCAAUUCUUCUUACUUGAUGCCAGCCAGUGGUUCAACACAUGGACAUAGCAAAGUGGUGCCCCACAAACUUCAAGAAGAAACAUGAGACUGGAUUCAAGAUUGUAGCAUACACUGAAGGAACCUCCUCAACCAAAGACUGCUUCAGAAGAUGUAAACAUAUUAAUUCUGCAAUAUUUGGUGAUGUUGUGGGGAGGGCAAAGUUGCUGCUCUGCACAUCACUUCACUUGAUGUGCAAAAUAUAGAAGCUCCUUUGAGGGAUUGGGUCAAGCUACUUUCAAAUAAGGGUUUGCUGUGGGGCUUGAAGGGCUUUGGCAAUAAAGAGUUUGCAUUACUUGGAAAGAAAGGUUUUAGAACCUGUUAUACUUGCCUCCUGAGGGCUGUGUAAUGCUGAGAAACACAUGUAUGCAAGUGGAAAGGACUUUUGGAGGGAGGCAAGAGAAACAAAAAUGGAUGCCACUCAGCUCUGCAAUGGGCUAUCAUUGCAGGGACACUAGAGGUGCCCUGCGGACUCCAUGGCCCUUCUUAAGGCAACUUAUUGCUGCAUAUCACGUCACUCACUGGCUUUAAUUUGCUUCCUGGUGAGCCAAAAUAAAGUUCUUGAAAAUAAUUAUCCUAGGUAUUUAUUUUUUCUGGAGCCUUAUGAAAA